GUUACUUGGAUAACUGUGGUAAUUCUAGAGCUAAUACACGCCCCAAAGCUCCGACCUCUCGGGAGGAGCGCAUUUAUUAGAACAAAACCAAUCGGACCUCGGUCCGCCCGUUGGUGAAUCUGAAUAACUCAGUGGAUCGCACGGGCCUAGUCCCGGCGACGCAUCUUUCAAGUGUCUGCCUUAUCAACUUUCGAUGGUAGUUUAUGUGCCUACCAUGGUUGUAACGGGUAACAGAGAAUAAGGGUUCGACUCUGGAGAGGGAGCCUGAGAAAYCGCUACCACUUCUAAGGAAGGCAGCAGGCGCGCAAAUUACCCACUCUCAGCACGAGGAGGUAGUGACGAAAAAUAACGAGACGGCGCUCACUGAGCGCCGUCAUCGGAAUGAGUACAAUCUAAACCCUUUAACGAGGAUCUAGCGGAGGGCAAGUCUGGUGCCAGCAGCCGCGGUAAUUCCAGCUCCGCAGGUGUAUAUCUAUGUUGCUGCGGUUAAAAAGCUCGUAGUUGGAUCUGCGCGUCCGGACCCGGUCGGCCCGCUGGGCGCGCACUGGCGUCCGGCGCUUCAUUCGCCGGUCUCCCCCGCGAUGCUCUUYACCGGGUGUCGCGGGUGGCUGGCAAGUUUACUUUGAAAAAAUUAGAGUGCUCAAAACAGGCGAACGCCUGAAUAAAUGUGCAUGGAAUAAUAGAAGAGGACUCCGGUUCUAUUUUGUUGGUUUUCGGAACUGUGGUAAUGAUUAAGAGGGACGGACGGGGGCAUUCGUA
rnacentral:rRNA from 1 species